rnacentral:rRNA from 1 species
AGGACGAACGCUGGCGGCGUGCCUAACACAUGCAAGUCGAGCGGGGACAUACGACGGAACCAAAGUUUCGGAUGGAGGUGAAGAUGUAUGUUCUAGCGGCGGACGGGUGAGUAACGCGUGAGCAACCUGUCCCUUACAGGGGGAUAACACAGCGAAAGUUGUACUAAUACCGCAUGAGACCACGGGGAGACAUCUUCCAGGGGUCAAAGGAGCAAUCCGGUAAGGGGUGGGCUCGCGUCCGAUUAGAUAGUUGGUGAGGUAACGGCCCACCAAGUCGACGAUCGGUAGCCGACCUGAGAGGGUGAUCGGCCACAUUGGGACUGAGACACGGCCCAAACUCCGUACGGGAGGCAGCAGGUGGGGAAUAUUGGGCAAAGUGGGGGGAACCCUGACCCAGCAACGCCGCGUGAGGGAAGAAGGUUUUCGGAUCGUAAACCUCUGUCCUUGGUGAAGAGUAAGAGACGGUAGCCAAGGAGGAAGCCCCGGCUAACUACGUGCCAGCCGCCGC